rnacentral:rRNA from 1 species
CGGCGAGUUAUCUUAUGUUGCAAGGUUAAGGAGUUGAUAUCUGGAGCCACAGCGAAAGCGAGUUUGAAUAGAGCGUUAAGUAACAUGAGAUAGACCCGAACCUUGGCGAUCUAACCAUGACCAGGAUGAAGCGUAGGUAACACUACGUGGAGGUCCGAACCAACCGAUGUUGAAAAAUCGGUGGAUGAGUUGUGGUUAGGGGUGAAAUGCCAAUCGAGCCAAGAGCUAGCUGGUUCUCCCCGAAAUGCGUUUAGGCACAGCGUUGGACUUAUCUUACCGGAGGUAGAGCACUAGUCUGGUGCGGGCGGCGAAAUGCCGUACCAAAUCAUGUUAAACUCCGAAUACCGGUAAUGUUACUAUCCAGCAGUGAGGCUACGAGUGCUAAGAUCCGUGGCCAAGAGGGAAACAGCCCAGAACGCCAGUUAAGGUCCCAAAUAUAUGCUAAGUGGUUAAGGAGGUAGAGUUGCUUAGACAACCAGGAGGUUGGCUUAGAAGCAGCCAUCCCUUGAAAGAGUGCGUAAUAGCUCACUGGUCAAGCGACUCCGCGCCGAAAAUACACCGGGACUAAAGCAUAUAACCGAAACUGCGUCAUAUAGUUUACUAUAUGGGUAGGGGAGCGUUCUGUUGUAGGACGAAGUAAGAUCGAAAGGACUUAUGGACGAAGCAGAAGUGAGAAUGUCGGCAUAAGUAGCGAAAACAUUGGUGAGAAUCCAAUGCACCGAAAACCUAAGGUUUCCCACGGCAGGCUCGUCCGCGUGGGGUUAGUCGGACCCUAAGCUGAGGCCGAAAGGCGUAGGCGAUGGACAUCAGGUUGAUAUUCCUGGACUAUCGGUUAAUCGUUAUCAGAGGCGGAGGGACGCAGGAGGAUAGACACGCAAGCGACUGGAAGUGCUUGUUUAAGCGUGUAGGUAGAAUUAGUAGGAAAAUCCGCUAAUUCGUUAUAAACUGAGGCGUGAUAAGGAGGAUCUACGGAUCCGAAGGUGUUGACUCCACACUGCCAAGAAAAUCUUCGCUAUCGAGAUUAACAGGUAUCCGUACCGGAAACCGCCACAGGUAGGUUGGUAGAGAAUACUAAGGUGCGCGAGACAACUCUCGCUAAGGAACUCGGCAAAAUCACCUCGUAACUUCGGGAGAAGAGGUACCCUGGUAGAGUGAAGCGGUUUACCCGUGGAGCUUGAUAGGGUCGCAGUGAAUAGGCCCAUGCGACUGUUUACCAAAAACACAGGUCUCUGCAAAGUCGAUCAAGACGAUGUAUAGGGGCUGACGCCUGCCCGGUGUCGGAAGGUUACGUGGAAGUGUUAGACCUCGGUCGAAGCACCGAAACUAAGCCCCGAUGAACGGCGGCCGUAACUAUAACGGUCCUAAGGUAGCGAAAUUCCUUGUCAGGUA